rfam:Dipodomys ordii contig_42309, whole genome shotgun sequence.
AGUUGGCUCAGUGGUAGAGUACUUGCCUUGCAUGCAUGAGGCCCUAGGUUUGAUUCCUUAGCACUA